ACCCGGGGAACUGAAACAUCUAAGUACCCGGAGGAAAAGAAAACAAAAGUGAUUUCCGUAGUAGCGGCGAGCGAACUGGAAAUAGCCCAAACCAAUGAGAUUUAUCUUGUUGGGGUAGUAGGGCUGCAAAUAUGAUAUAUAAUCUGAAGUGGAAGUAUCUGGAAAGUUACACCAAAGAGAGUGAAAGUCUCGUAUACGUUAAGUUUAUAUAUUUAUGCAGUACCCUGAGUAGUGCGGGACUCGUGAAAUCCUGUAUGAAUCAACCGGGACCAUCCGGUAAGGCUAAAUACUCCUGAGAGACCGAUAGUGAACUAGUACCGUGAGGGAAAGGUGAAAAGAACCCUAAAUAAGGGAGUGAAAUAGUACCUGAAACCGUGUACUUACAAGCGGUCGGAGCCAAUUUAUUUGGUGACGGCGUGCCUUUUGCAUAAUGAGCCUACGAGUUACUGCUCACUGGCAAGGUUAAGUUAUUAAAAUGACGGAGCCGUAGCGAAAGCGAGUCUGAAUAGGGCGAAAGUCAGUGGGCGUAGACGCGAAACCUUGUGAUCUACCCAUGAGCAGGUUGAAGCUUCUGUAAUAGGAAGUGGAGGACCGAACCAGUAUACGUUGAAAAGUGUUUGGAUGACUUGUGGGUAGGGGUGAAAGGCCAAUCAAACUAGGA
rnacentral:rRNA from 1 species